AAAUUAUCCAUUUUUGUUUACAAGCUGACAGACAAUUAGCGGAAUUGACGCUCGUUAGUGUUGUUCAUUUUAACUUCACGUUCAUAAACGAUAAUCUAAGUGUACAUAAGCACACUAAUAAGUAUCUCAUUUUUCGUUUAAAUAAAUUUUGUAAUCUAACAGAUACGUAACACCUGAACUAAUAACUACUGAUAUUGAACAAUUUUUAUUGCAAAGUAUCCACGAAUAAAUAGGUAUAUCCACUAAUUAUCCGUAAAAGCAUCUGUAAAAUCUCAAUAAUUAUAAAAUAAUAGGUUCAAAAUCCGUCAUUUUUGUUGUCAUAUGCUCGUAUCUUUUAUUUCGAGGAAAGCACUAGCAAACUGUUCAACGAAUUAGUUCCCGUAGCUAGACCAUAUACUUUUUAAUGGAGCGGCACCUAAUUAACGCAACUAAGUAAAAACUCAGGUAGCAAUUUCGCGUUUACAUCUUUGGUAUUUUGCUGUUCGUUCACGGACGAAGCGGCACCUAAGAGAUCGGCACGUGUAUAUGCAUAUCUACGUAUUUACAUAUAUCUGCAGAUAUAUUGCAAAAAAAUAUAGCUGAUUUUAUUUUUUUUUUGCUCUUACGUAAAGCAUCGUGCAGCCGUCUGACAAUAAUAGCUCUGGUUGAAAAAGGUUACGCAACCGUCACGAGAAAUUCUGAACGCACAAAGACGUAUACCGAGAGGACGCAUCGCAUUGUACGUUUACUGGCAAUGACGCAAUACUGCUGGUUAUCCGUAUUUUCCUAUAAGUUCGAGACAAUGAUUACCGGCGCGUGAAAGAUGAUGUCGUUCAUUGGACCCGCUGUAAAUAACGAUCGAUCGGCGAUUCGCGCGCUCCCAGAGUUUGAUUAAAACGAUGUGUACACGUGAUAGACCGAUGGUACCCUAAGUUCCUAUUAAUCUAUAUUGUACGAACGUAUGUUCCUAAGUUUAAGCUUUAACGAGCCGCGCAGCCGCGGGCUGAUCAGAACGUUCGAAUCGAGACGAGGUGUGUCCUUUUGUUCGGAUCUCGACCAAUAUCGAUCCUGCUAAUCGAUCGCAUUUGUAAUACGGUUUUAGCAGGUCUCGUUUUUACAACUAGCGAACGCAUGUGUACAUACGCGUGUUCUAUUUGCGUGUGUGUUUGCGCGCCGCGUGUGUGUGUGAUUCUUGCGAAUUAUGUACACCAACUCUUUUUGCAGUUAAGCAAUACUAUAAGUACGGCGACGAUACGUUCGAGGAUAUCGUGAAAUACGUAACGUGCGCGCUAGGUUAAGCGAUUGAGAGAAAAUCAAAAUUAGUUGUUAAAAAAAUGGAUACGGGGGGGAGGGGACGACUCGGGGGUACACGGCCAACCGCGACAAGUAUUUCGAUCGUUAAGUACCACGAUUCAGGGUCCUCUUAGGUAUUUCACACUUAGCGAAUAACGAGGACGUUUAGGCGGCUAAUGUAAUUGAAAAUGAAUGUAUUCUACUCGGUGAACCAGAAGUACAAGUAAAUACUGUUUCGAUGACGAAUUAUUAAAUAUAUAAAUAUAUAUAUAUUAUAUAUAUAUAUAUACAUAUACAGAUAGAUAAAUAUAUGCAUAUAUAUAUUUACAAAGUGGUGUGCAGAACAACGUGUGCGAGCGUGUAUGAAAGCGCGUGUGUAUGUGUACAUAAUAAUCGGUUGCCGCGAAAACAUACCGAAAACAUACAAACGGAGGAUAAUUAUGAAUAUUCGAACCGACCGUUUGUUGUCAGCGUUGUUGGAGGAACAAAUAACUAAACGCGCACCAUACCAAAUUAUUUUUCUGCGAAAGUCAGAUGAUACGGGAGAUUAUUUUUGCAAAACGACAGUCGACGCUCUACCGAUCGACGGAAGCGGAUUAGACUUCCGGAGACACGGGAGAUAGCAUUUGUACGUUACAAAACAGAAUGCCGAAGAAAGAGGUAUCGAUUGUUUCUUAUCGAGAGAAAGAGAGAAUGGCUGAGAGAAGUGGAAAGAGAGAAAACAGACAGACAGACAGAGAGAGAGAGAGAGAGAGAGAGAGAGAGAGAAAUCCAUAAUUUUAAGUGUAACGAUAGCUGUACAUGUGUAAUGUUAGAAUACAGAAAACCGAAUGUUCCUAAUGUAAUGCUUUCAUCUAAAUACGUCUAUUUAUAAGUAUUUACGCGAUAGAGGUUCUAAUAUUUAUAUAUUGCUUUGUAACGUUCCUGUUUUCAUUACUUAUCAGUUCCAACGAGAAAACCAUCAAGCAUUGUAACUGCGUAAGGGAUUACGAACGCCAUAAAACACUCGCAAUUGAUUUCGCGUGUUCGAGAAACAGAAUUUGCAUCGAGCCCAACCGUGAUUAGUUUGUGCGAAAGAGAACUUGAACAAAAUACACGUACACUUUCGCAAACUUCUUACAAAUGUAGAUAAACUUUGAAGCAAGUUCUCCUGUACAAACUGGUUCGGAUUUACGUGUUACGCGUGUACGCCAAAACAUAAUGUUCCUAUCGUGGAAGGAAGGAUACGUUUCAAAUGUAUUCGGAUCAUUCGCCAUACAAAACGAACUUCGUGUAUCAAUGUUUCUUAGUGAGUUUGGUAUUCUUUUGAGAUGAUUGUUAGCGAUUAACGAUCGAGGGUACAAAAAGCGGGAAGAGCGAAAAAUCAAAAUUCGAAAAAUCAAAAUUACAGUGUAAGUUCAUAGAGAUUCGUUGUUCGUCGAUAAAUAUUAUUUGUUAGUCAAGAAUAGUUGGAUACGUCCAAUAAUAUAGUCUAAUAAUCAUUAA